CCCGCACAAGCAGCGGAGCGUUGUGGUUUAAUUCGAUGUUACACGAAGAACCUUACCUGGGAUUGACAUGGAGGUGGUAGGGAAGCGAAAGCGGACCGACUCUUCGGAGAGCCUUCACAGGUGCUGCAUGGCUGUCGUCAGCUCGUGCCGUGAGGUGUCGGGUUAAGUCCCGUAACGAGCGCAACCCUUGCCCUUAGUUACAAGUGUCUAGGGGGACUGCCGGCGGGAAGCCGGAGGAAGGUGGGGAUGACGUCAAGUCAGCAUGGCCCUUAUAUCCAGGGCUACACACACGCUACAAUGGUCGGUACAAAGGGCAGCGAAGCCGCGAGGUGGAGCGAAUCCCAGCAAAGCCGACCGUAGUACGGAUAGCAGGCUGCAACUCGCCUGCUUGAAGCUGGAGUUGCUAGUAACCGCGCGUCAGCAUAGUGCGGUGAAUACGUUCCCGGGGCUU
rnacentral:rRNA from 1 species